GCGAUACGGGUAGCCGGCCUGAGAGGGCGACCGGCCACACUGGGACUGAGACACGGCCCAGACUCCUGCGGGAGGCAGCAGUGGGGAAUAUUGCGCAAUGGGCGAAAGCCUGACGCAGCGACGCCGCGUGGGGGAUGACGGCCUUCGGGUUGUAAACCUCUUUUACCACUCACGCAGGCCCCACGUUUUCGUGGGGUUGACGGUAGGUGGGGAAUAAGGACCGGCUAACUACGUGCCAGCAGCCGCGGUAAUACGUAGGGUCCGAGCGUUGUCCGGAAUUAUUGGGCGUAAAGAGCUCGUAGGCGGCGUGUCGCGUCUGCUGUGAAAGACCGGGGCUUAACCCCGGUUCUGCAGUGGAUACGGGCAUGCUAGAGGUAGGUAGGGGAGACUGGAAUUCCUGGUGUAGCGGUGAAAUGCGCAGAUAUCAGGAGGAACACCGGUGGCGAAGGCGGGUCUCUGGGCCUUACCUGACGCUGAGGAGCGAAAGCAUGGGGAGCGAACAGGAUUAGAUACCCUGGUAGUCCAUGCCGUAAACGUUGGGCGCUAGGUGUGGGGACUUUCCACGGUUUCCGCGCCGUAGCUAACGCAUUAAGCGCCCCGCCUGGGGG
rnacentral:rRNA from 1 species